GGAGACUGAAGUAGAGAACGUGCUUCUACACGCCGCGUGAGUGGUAGACAAGAAAUGCGGGAAAGGGCACACCCGCCGGUUUCC
rnacentral:ncRNA from 12 species